rnacentral:tRNA from 1 species
GCAAACAAUGCGCUGGGAUUUUAACACAGCGUCCUUUUCAGGGGGAUCAGAGCACCGCCAGGUGCCAGGCCUGUGUUUGCUCC